UCAGGCCAACUGUCUGCCAUAGUAAAUUACACUUUGUCACUCCUGGUAGAAUCUUGACAUCACAGACUGCGACUAAUCAGAUCUACGGUCUACCAUUAUGAUAGAAAACUACUUCUGUCACAGACAAGCCUGUUGGGCCCACAGUACAAAUUUUGGCUUGUUAGGUUCAUGGUCUACCCUCAUGAGCAAUUGACUCCCAAUUCCCAUGUCAGCCUACAGUCUACCAUAGUAAAUUACUUCUUUCACUGACAAGCCUGUCAGGCCCACAGUACAAGCUGUAGGUAGUCAGGGCAUGGUCUUCCUUGGUGAGCAAAUAUUGGCGAUCGACUCAUUCCAAUGUCAGCGUCUGUAUGUCCAUGUUUGGCAGCAAGUGUUAACCAGAGAUCCUCAGCUGUUUUGAUAUAAUAGAUUGAUUUUCCCUACAGCUGUGCAUUUAAUGUCCAAUUUCUUUGCUGUACAUAUUUCGUUAAUUUUUUGUGUACUUGUUUAUCAUCAGUUUAACAGCGACAAGCUUGUUAAUAUUAUACCCAGAGAACUAUUGGAUGCAUGUGUUGUUGAUGCAGGUUAUCAUUUCAUUUCCUUUCUUUGCAUUUGCAUGUUGUAAUACUUAUUGUUGUUCAGAUGAAAAUUUUCAAUUGCGGCUUUAACUAUAUGUAAUUUAUAAAGGCUCCUUACGUCCAUAUAUUACAUAGUACUCGCACAUUCAGUUCUUUGUUUAUUGCAUACUGUCUGCUAAACCUCAAAUUGAAAAUAUAUUGGAAUAUGUGUAAUAGUGUAACUGUGUUUUUGAAAAGCCAUUGCAAUGAAAUGAAAUAUUAUUUAACAUAUAAACUUCAUGGAGGAAAAAUACCUAUAUUUCUUGAUAGAAAAUGCAUGUAGCUAGUGUAAGCCAGGAAUUUGAAGAAAUGUUGCUGAUGGGGAAAAUUUGCUGGUUGAUUAGGUUUGAAAACAUUGUACCUGGGUAUAUCUGGUAGCAAAGUUAUGAAAGUGAAACCUUAUAGCUAUCAACACAUAAAAAAUUAUUAUUUGCUUACUAGUGAUUUCCCUAAAAUAUGAAUGGCUUCCGAGAUUAAAAUUAAUUAUUAUGAAACAAAUAUAAUGCUCUACAUAAAAGCAGACGCAGGCUUCGCAGAUUGAAAUUGUUCAUUUUUAAAUUUCAAUAUUACUCUCUUUUUUUUUUUGCUUUUUCUUUGCAAAAAAAAAUAGUGCAUGUUGUCAAGAAUGAGAUUGCAAACUUAAAUAUUUCUUUUUAAGUGGACUGUGAAGGUAAAAUCACAAAUAAUUAAGAGUUGUGCAGAUAGCAACCACUGUUUUAAGAACUUUGAUCAACAGCCAUCCCUCCACAAGCACCACCACACAACAGGUAUGAUACUUAGGAAAGGUGUCAUAACUCACGAUAAUAAUAAUACCUCAGAACAGGUGUCACCUCAGACAACAGGUAUGAUACUAAGGACAAGUGUCGUAACGCACAUCAAUAAUCAUACCUGAAGACAGGUGUCACCUCACACAAUAGGUAUGAUACUAAGGACAGGUGCUGUAACGCACAUCAAUAAUCAUACCUGAGAACAGGUGUCACCUCACACAACAGGUAUGAUACUAAGGACAGGUGUCGUAACUCACAUCAAUAAUAAUACCUGAAGACAGGUGUUGUAAAGCGCAACGAUAAUUAUACCUCAGAACGGUGUUGACUUGCACAACAGGUAUGAUACUUAGGGCAGGUGUGGUAACUCACGACGAUAAUAAUACCUCAAAACAGGUGUCGCCCCACACAACAGGUAUGAUACUAAGGACAGGUGUGGUAACUCACCACGAUAAUAAUACCUCAAAACAAGUGUCACCUCACACAACAGGUACAAUACUUAGGACAGGUGUCGUAACUCACCACGAUAAUAAUACCUCAGAACCUGCAGUGUCACCUCAUAUCAGGUGUCCUACAUCACGACAGGUGUGAUACUUUAGGAUACCUGUCCCUACUUCACAGACGUUACAUCUUGGGAAAGAUAUUGUAGUUAAUAACUGGUAUAAUGUCUUUAUCCAAAUAUGGGGUGCUUGACAAUGAAAUAACUUCGCUUAUAGCUUAUUUACAAUACAGCUUUUCUAAUCGAGAUGUGUGUACCCAACAUGUGGCAUUCAUCAUUUUUUUACGAAUAGGGAGAAAUUGUCUCUUAACAAGGUUUUUUUUAUCUUGCCCGGCUAAACUAAAGUUUUAGCCAAGGUAAAGCAAUUGAACAUGGCUAAAGUGCUUAUGAUUCAAAUAUUUGUAUCACACCUCACACAGCCAUUAGGUUGAUAUAUAUGUGCUAUAUUCAAUAUUUUUAUUGAAAUGAUAAAUAUUAUGUAAGAUGAAUAAGUGCUUUAUUUUUGUUAUAAUUUACACUGUUAUCAAGUACAGUAAGAUCAAAAUGCCUUUGUGUUUGUCAACUGUGAUGUCACCUCCGAUACAGUACAGUCUGGGAUGGAUUUUCAGAGUUAAUCCACUGACAUAUUGUUAUGUGAUAUAUCGUCAUGGAAACAGAUAUAUAUAUAGUUAUGUUUAUGUUUUUGCUUGUUCAUUCAUUGCUAUCUAAAUGUCCACCACUAUACUGUGCAUGGCCUUGGGGCGGGAGCUGGCUACCUACCUAAUAUAAUAGGAAGAGGGAAAGGUCUGCAGAGAGUAAUUAUAGUACUGGAGAAGUAGAGCAAAUAAAUAUCCAUCCCGUGUUUUGUAACAUUUAUAUUGCCUUCUUUUGAGGGUACUGUAGUCUGAUGGUUUGAGGGUUGGCAUAGUACCGAAAGUGUGGGUUCUAUUCCACCUCAACAACAUAAUCAGACUAUAGUGACCUCAAAAUUUAAAGAAGGCAAUAAUGUUUUAUGUACAUCACUCUUUCGGUACGUUUUACUUUGCAAAUAUUAAUAUUCAACUGAAUAUUUUACCACAGGAGGGACUCACCUAUAGCCAUUUUCUUCGUCUGCAUCAGUCGGAACAGUGAAGACGACGUCACAAUAGAUUUACAUUCAACCUCACACUAAAUUAUAUAAUUAGUGCCCAGAAGGGCAGAUACUAUCACUUCUUAGUACUCACGUGUGUAGCCACUGGGAAGUCAGUAUUCUGUUACAUGAUGCAUAAAAAAACAAGCAGGGCCUAAUACAUGUACAUCUGCUUCUAAAUUUCCUGUUUUACCACAUUUCUGAAUAAGGCCAGCUUUUUCCUGCGCAAUACUUUACAAUACUCGCCUCUACAUAUAUCCCAAUGUGUUCUAGUCCUGGCUUAUAUUUCUUUAUAAACAACUCUCAUGUCUAUGCUUAGUUUCCCAUUUGUUAUUCUGAAAUCUGCCAUUGAAGUCACUUGAAUUGAAGAAUAACUAUACAUUCUGCAUUCCUGUAUUUUGUGUUUGUCAAGAUAUAGCUAAAAUUAUUAAGUUGAUGAUAUUUUCCAAAAUAUAUUUUUUGCAUUUUUGGUGUUGAAAGUUAGAAUAUAAUGACAUUUAUAAAUAUUUAAAUUAUAUAAUCAGUUGCGUUUGGAUUUUGUUUUCAUUAUUACAGCUGUAUUUGCAAAUUUCAUAAUGAAAUAGGUUAUCCAUUUGGACUUUGAUAUACAAUAUAAACAAGUAUAAAUGUAUUGUUAAUGUAUUAGAAUAGUAGUUUAUUUAUAUAGCUGUAUCAUUGGAUUGGUUUAUGAACACAAAAAACAAUAGGAAUUGUACUGGAGACAAAUUUAACAAAUUAUCUGCAUCUGAAUGUCUCCCCUCCAUCCAGAGUGAUGUUCAAGGAAAAUUACAGCAUAAUGGGUAUUUCAAAAUCAGUCAUAUCUCCAUAGAUAUAACAUGUGUACCUGUAUACAAUACUGGGUACUUAUACUAACUUUCAUAUGUUGUGGUUCUGUUAAUUAAACUGAUUAUUGAUUUAUGUUAAAAGGGUGAUAGUGUAAUAAUCAAAUACAGUGACUGUUUGUUGUAUGUGUAGCAUUGUCAGAGAUUUGUGAGAAACUCGACCUAAAUGGCUACUGUGUAUAUUGUAAGAAAGGUGUUUGACAUUAUGGAAACCCACAAGUCUACACGAAGGACAAGAGUGUAGUCUUGGGGGGGGGGUUUCCAACAAUGGGUGGUCCGAGUGCAAGUGGAUUGAAAGAUAAUUGCUCUUGUGAAGAAAAGUAAGUAAAACAUUGUUAAGUGUAACUGAACCUGAUUCUGGCAAAUAUAUAAAGAUAUAUAUACUAUGUUUUAAAAUAAUAAACAAAUUGCAGAAAAUUUA